rnacentral:lncRNA from 1 species
CACUGGAACAGUUUCCAGUGGCGGUGGUGUCUAACCGCCACUGGUACUAUUUUUUCCUGAAAAAAAAUAAAUGAAUUAUGUAUAAAAAUAAAUAUUCCUGUAGCACAGAAAUAGCAGGAAUACAGAACAACACAGAAAAUAGCAGGAAUACAAUAGCACAGUAUACAGCACCAAAGAAACAUAAUAGCAGAAAAUAUAUUACAAAGUUCCACACGAAUUAUACAUUCAAGUCACAUGCAUGUAUACAAAG